UUCGGAUUGUAGUCUGCAACUCGACUACAUGAAGCUGGAAUCGCUAGUAAUCGCAAAUCAGAAUGUUGCGGUGAAUACGUUCCCGGGUCUUGUACAUACCGCCCGUCACACCAUGGGAGUCGGAAAUGCCCGAAGUCUGUGACCCAACUGAAAGGAGGGAGCAGCCGAAGGCAGGUCUGAUAACUGGGGUGAAGUCGUAACAAGGUAGC
rnacentral:rRNA from 1 species